GCAGAUGUAGCUCAGUGGUAGAGCGGGACGUUGCCAACGUCCAGGCCGCGAGUCCGAUCCUCGCCAUCUGCUCCA
rnacentral:tRNA from 1 species